rnacentral:rRNA from 1 species
AAGGGCACCACAAGAACGCGUGGAGCAUGUGGCUUAAUUUGACUCAACGCGGGAAAACUUACCGGGUCCGGACACACUGAGGAUUGACAGGCGAUUACUUGUGUUUUUCUAUUUAGUUGUGGCUUUUAUUAGUUAUAAUUAUUUAGAAACAGCACUUGUAUAGCAAAUAUGCUAGUCCUUUCAUGAUUGUGUGAUAGGUGGUGCAUGGCCGUUCUUAGUUCGUGGAGUGAUCUGUCUGCUUAAUUGCGUUUCACAAUAGAACAAUGCAGGGAUUGAGAUGUCCCGUGGGAUUGCUUGGUAUCUUUUUACCGCUUCCCGCUCAACGGGCUCUCAUUCAACCCUGUUACCGUGUUCUGAAGGCAACGAACGUGACCG